rnacentral:rRNA from 1 species
UACGGAGGGUGCGAGCGUUGUUCGGAAUCACUGGGCGUAAAGCGCGUGUAGGCGGUCAGGUAGGUCCGUUGUGAAAACUCGAGGCUCAACCUCGAGACGCCGAUGGAAACCAUCUGACUAGAGUCCGGAAGAGGAGAGUGGAAUUCCUGGUGUAGCGGUGAAAUGCGCAGAUAUCAGGAAGAACACCCGUGGCUAAGGCGGCUCUCUAGUACGGUACUGACGCUGAGACGCGAAAGCGUGGGGAGCGAACAGG